rnacentral:rRNA from 1 species
GGAAUAUUGCACAAUGGGCGAAAGCCUGAUGCAGCAACGCCGCGUGAGGGAUGACGGCCUUCGGGUUGUAAACCUCUUUUAGUAGGGAAGAAGCGAAAGUGACGGUACCUGCAGAAAAAGCACCGGCUAACUACGUGCCAGCAGCCGCGGUAAUACGUAGGGUGCAAGCGUUGUCCGGAAUUAUUGGGCGUAAAGAGCUCGUAGGCGGUUUGUCGCGUCUGCUGUGAAAUCCCGAGGCUCAACCUCGGGCUUGCAGUGGGUACGGGCAGACUAGAGUGCGGUAGGGGAGAUUGGAAUUCCUGGUGUAGCGGUGGAAUGCGCAGAUAUCAGGAGGAACACCGAUGGCGAAGGCAGAUCUCUGGGCCGUAACUGACGCUGAGGAGCGAAAGCAUGGGGAGCGAACAGGAUUAGAUACCCUAG